GUGUAAUAGCUGUAGGAAAUGAAAACGUGAAUCAGAGGAGGAAGGGGGAAUACGCAGCCGUGAUGAAUUUCCAAGUGCAGGCCAAGAAGGGAGGUGAGCUAGAGAAAGUCUGGGUUCUCUUUGAUAAGAUUCCUUCCUGGAGAAGCUGGGGAGCCCGGAGUGAGUGUGCACAGCACAAUGAGAGGGACGCUUGGAAGGGGAACAAAGCUGCUUGUGUAAGUGCGAUGGGGGAUGCUAGCCUCUUCAGCCGAGUCCGGAAAUUCAUUCUGUAACAAAGAACUGUCAUUCCAAGUCAAUGACACCUUCUAAAUCCUCUCAGACUGUGCCCAAAAUUACAGAGAAGAAAUGGCAGGUCGAUUCCAUUUGGCCAGAACUGGGUAGCUGUGUACUUCGCUCACAUACCUAGAUCUAACGGAGAUGAGACAGAGUGGCCAGGCGAUAAAGCGAGUCAGUCCAGGAUGGGGAGGAGGCUGAUGCAGAACAGAUAAUGAAGGGACCGAGAUUUGAAAGCAUGGCGUCUAAGUCUUGCUGUGUAAUGAACAGAGGAGAGUGGAGGGCUGAGAUCUGAGACCCCAGUGCACCUGUGUCUGGAGCUCCUCUGCCAGCAGCUUGGCUUCAGCUCUGGGAAAUGUGGGUGAGCUCCCUGGGAACCUGACUGCCUCGGGCCACCUUGACUGCUUGUUGAAAAGAGCCAAAGGCCAGGAUUUCCUCUAAAGGUCAUAGAUAGGUGCCCUGGUGGUUAAGAACUUGAACUUCGGUAUCGAGUUCUAGCUCCCCCAUCAACUGGCUGUGUGGCCUUGAGCAAGGCACCUACCCUCUCUGAGCCUUGGAUUCAUCAUUUGUGAAAUGAAAGAAAAAAAAGCUGUCUUACAGGGUUAUUAUGAAAACUAAGUACGAUAAGGGAUUAAAAAAAAAAAAAAAACCUAUGUAGCAGUGUUGAUGGCCCAUGCGAGAGAUCCUUAUUUUUAAUAAAGGAGGUGAUCACACAUAUAACUAUUUUAACUUGCUUUUUCGUGGACCUGGGUCAGAGACUGAGCAGGAAUGACUCCAUUCUUUCCCUUAGUUUUCCAUCUUGGGUAACCCUAAGUUUUUUCUCUGUGUCUAUGAGUCUGUCUGUUUUGCUCAUAAGUUCAUUUGCAUCACAUUUUAGAUUCUACAUACAAGCGACAUCAUAUGAUAUUUGUCUCUGCUUUCUGAUUUACGUCACUUAAUAUAAUCUCUAGUUGCAUCCAUCUCUCUGCAAGUGGCAUCAUUUCAUUCUGUUUAAUGGCUGAGUAGUAUUCCAUUGUAUAUCUACACCACAUCUUCUUCAUCUAUUCAUCUGUCCAUGGACAUUUAGGUUCUGGCAUGUCUUGGCUAUAGUAAAUAGCUCUGCCAUGAACUCUGGGGUGUGUGAAGGCUUUGAAAUUGGAGUUUUUUAUCUUUUCUACAUACAUGCCCAGGAGUGGAAUUGCUGGCUAGUGUGGUAACUCUAUUUUUAGUUUUCUGGGCAAUCUCUACGCUGUUCUCCAUAGUGGCUGUACCAGUUGACAUUUCCAGCCACAGUGUAGGAGGGGAACGUGUGUCUUUCCCUGAGCUGACGCCUGCCUCCUUGUAACAGAGCCUCGCUCCUAGUUCGUUAGUACAGCAGGUGUGUGGGGAGGCACCACAACAGGUGAUGCUUCAUCCUGCUGAGGCUGUGACCUGGUUUGGUCUUUGAUGGAGGAAGUCCAUGGAUCAGCUUCUCCAGUGAGGAUGGGGGCUGGUGGAGAGCAGCAGUCCCUUGAAAAUAUUUGCAGGAUUUUGUUUGCAUAUAUGUUUUCCCGGGAAAGCCUCCUUAGCUCUCAGCACUUUUUUCAAGCAUGUCUGUUUGCUUUAGAAGAUUAAGGAGCAUCGGCUUCCUUCUUCAUGGAAUUCUGUGUCUCUCCCAGAUCUCCUCUUGGGAAGCCUAGACCCUCCACGUCUCUGUAUUCCUUGUCUGUCUGUCUCUGUUGUAAAUAUUUCUUUUAAAUAUUUAGGUCUGGGACACCUGCCAAAUUUUCUCAAUUUGUCUGUGUUCCUCUAAGUUUGGGUCCUCAGAUCCAUGCACAAGCUAAACCCCAGGAGUCACCUGAUAGCCCGAAGAGUGUGACAUCUUUCCUUGAUUUGACCUGAGACUUCUUUGAUUGCUCCUAAGUUUUUCUCCUUUGGAAACCUUAGUGUACUUGGUUUGGAAUGUUGAUGUUGCAGAUUUAAAAAAAAAUAAUUUGUUGAUACAUGUAACAACAAAUUACAUAUGCUGGGGGUUCGGGCUGCCUUCAGGCCUCUUCAUAGUCAACACGAUCCUCAGUGCUUUGUGUUGUUCUUGGACCAUGUAUGCAGGACCUGAUACUUAUCCCUUUGAAGUGUCUUGUUAGGAGCAAUGGUAUCAUCAGGUCUAUGGGCUAUCAGCCUUCCUGUCCAGCUUAGAGUCAUCUUCAGAUCUGAUCAGCAUGCCAACAAAUUAAUGACGUUGAGCCAAAUAAGGUCCACACCAGUGUCUCAACUUGCCCCACCCACGGCACUUGUGCUGGGAUUGGGUUGAUAGACCCUUUGGGCAUGAGUGAUGUUUCUCAGAGUGUAUUCUGAAGGACACGGGACUUGAGGAUGGUCCUAGGAAUAGAACCCUAUAAUCCAAUACAUGAGGAUAGGGCUGUAUGUCAUAACCCUUUCUUGGAGACUCAGGAUGCGUAUGAGCGUAUUAAAAAAAGCUAGUGACAGAUUGUUAAGCAUAGUUUUCCAAGGAUAUUUGACCAUUACGUUGUCCUCCCUGCUUUCUCUGUAACACCCAAUAAACAAUCUGCAAACAAAGGUUCUAGAAAACAGUCUGCAAGAGAAAGGCUCUUAUAGAUGUUGAACCAGUUAGCAUCAUUUAGCGGUCUUAGCUUCUGGCCCAGUUUCUCUUGUUGUUAACCACAAGGGUGAGAUGAGAGAUGAUAUAAAAUGCCUUGCUAAAAACCAGUUUAUCUUGCCAGCCUGUCACCCAUUCAAAAAGGAAAGUACUUGAGGCUGCUCUCAUCCUCUGUCUGCCACGUGAAGUUUGCGUGCCGUAGGAGGAGGGGGUCUUUCUCAGGUGUUCUGUUAAGACCAGGACCCAGACGCCCUUGGAGGAUCUCAGAGAAACCCAAAGCCCGGAGAUAGCCUGUCAUCAUUUGCAAUAAUAACAGUCAUUAAAAUAUUAGAGUAAUACUGAAUGUUUACUUCAUGUCAGCCACAUCACUCAGUGCUUCACAUGUAAUAGCUCACUCAGCCUUGCAGGAACCGAGUUGGGCAAUUCUGCUGUCCUUAUUUUAUGAAUGAGGAGCUGAAAGCAUCAAGAAUUUGGAAAAGUUACUCAAGGGGAAAUGGCUAAUGAGCAAAGGAGCCGGGCGUCCAACUCAACACUGACCCGAGAGCCCACAUGCUCAUCAGUUCACUGUAUUUUUUUUUCUUUCAUCAUCAUCAAGUGAAAGAAGUCAGUAGCCAUCAAGCACUUAUUAAAUGUGGGCUUUGGGUGUGGCCUGGUAUUGGGUGAAGCUGAAGACAGCAGCAAAAUAACACAGUCCUUGCCUGAAGGGACUGACACUUCAUUUGGGGGGGACCUUUUGUCGUUGAGUGAAGACAGUGCUUAGCAAGCAGAUGGAAGGCAAUGUGUGAGGAAUGGACUCCCAGUGCCACCCAGGCGGCUCGCUCAGACCUCGACCGCUUUGUCUCCACAGCCAGCUCUCAGAGACACGCUUGCCCAGGGAUGUCUCCCGCCCCUUCUGCUCUACACCUUCUCGCAAUUUCCCUUCUCAGUCUGCAUCUGUCCCUCGCCUCUUAGCUUCUGUGUGUCCCCCGCAGAAACCACGAAUCUCCUGGCCCCCUCCGUUCUCAGUCAGUGGCGGACCCGCAGGUGACAUCCACGGCACUUGGAGGUGACCUUGUUUGAGUGAGACGCUGGCUUUUCAGUUACAUACAUCUCCAGUAGGCCGAACUGGCAGCUUGUCAGCAGGCUUAUGUCACUGGGUCAAAUCCCUCCUUGCCCGGCUUCCUUUAGUAAGCACCCCAGGAUGCUCCUGGAGCCCAGAAGGCAGAGGAGGGCAGGUGAGGGAGCCAGAAAGAAAGGGGGGAGCAAAAGCAGAGACCUGUCCCUCCCU
rnacentral:lncRNA from 1 species